AAUCAACGCUGGCGGCGUGCCUAACACAUGCAAGUCGCACGAGAAAGGGGAGCAAUCCCUGAGUAAAGUGGCGCACGGGUGAGUAACACGUGACUAACCUACCCUCGAGUGGGGAAUAACCUAGAGAAAUCUGGGCUAAUACCGCAUAACACUUACGAGUCAAAGCAGCAAUGCGCUUGAGGAGGGGGUCGCGGCAGAUUAGCUAGUUGGCGGGGUAAGUGGCCCACCCAAGGCAAUGAUCUGUAUCCGGCCUGAGAGGGCGCACGGACACACUGGAACUGAAACAACGGUCCAGACUCCUACGGGA
rnacentral:rRNA from 1 species